GAUGAAGAACGUAGCGAAAUGCGAUACUUGAUGUGAAUUGCAGAAUCCCGUGAACCAUCGAGUCUUUGAACGCAAGUUGCGCCCGAAGCCAUUAGGCCGAGGGCACGCCUGCCUGGGCGUCACACGUCGUUGCCCCCCCAUCUACUCCUUCGGGAUUGCGGGGGGCGGAUGAUGGCCUCUCGUGCGCCUCGUCGCGCGGUUGGCCUAAAUGCCAAGUCCUCGGCGACGCACGCCACGACAAUCGGUGGUUGCGAAACCUCGGUUGCCUGUCGUGUGCGGUCGUCGCGCAUCGAGGGCUCGAAAAAAUUGCCGGGCUUCGGCUCGACUUUCAACGCGACCCCAGGUCAGGCGGGGUUACCCGCUGAAUUUAAGCAUAUCAAUAAGCGGAGGA
rnacentral:misc_RNA from 1 species